UGGUGCCAGCAGCCGCGGUAAUUCCAGCUCCAAUAGCGUAUAUUAAAGUUGUUGCAGUUAAAAAGCUCGUAGUUGAAUUUCGGGGUUAGUAGGUUGGUCAUGCCUCUGGUAUGUACUGGUCUCACUGAUUCCUCCUUCCUGAUGAGCCGUAAUGCCAUUAAUUUGGUGUUGCGGGGAAUUUGGACUGUUACUUUGAAAAAAUUAGAGUGUUUAAAGCAAGCUAACGCUUGAAUACAUUAGCAUGGAAUAAUGAAAUAGGACGUUCGAUCCUAUUUUGUUGGUUUCUAGGAUUGACGUAAUGAUUAAUAGGGAUAGUUGGGGGCAUUAGUAUUCAAUUGUCAGAGGUGAAAUUCUUGGAUUUAUUGAAGACUAACUACUGCGAAAGCAUUUGCCAAGGAUGUUUUCAUUAAUCAAGAACGAAAGUUAGGGGAUCGAAGACGAUCAGAUACCGUCGUAGUCUUAACCAUAAACUAUGCCGACUAGGGAUCGGAUGAUGUUAAUUUUUUAAUGACUCAUUCGGCGCCU
rnacentral:rRNA from 1 species